AUUGAACGCUGGCGGCAUGCCUUACACAUGCAAGUCGAACGGCAGCACGGGUGCUUGCACCUGGUGGCGAGUGGCGAACGGGUGAGUAAUACAUCGGCACGUACCUUAUCGCAGGGGAUAACGCAGCGAAAGUUGCGCUAAUACCGCAUACGCCCUGAGGGGGAAAGCGGGGGACCGUAAGGCCUCGCGCGAUUAGAGCGGCCGAUGUCUGAUUAGCUUGUUGGUGAGGUAAAAGCUCACCAAGGCGAUGAUCAGUAGCUGGUCUGAGAGGACGAUCAGCCACACUGGGACUGAGACACGGCCCAGACUCCUACGGGAGGCAGCAGUGGGGAAUUUUGGACAAUGGGGGCAACCCUGAUCCAGCAAUGCCGCGUGAGUAAAGAAGGCCUUCGGGUUGUAAAGCUCUUUUGUCAGGGAAGAAACAGCAGCUCUAACACAGUCUGCGAAUGACGGUACCUGAAGAAUAAGCACCGGCUAACUACGUGCCAGCCGCCGCGGUAA
rnacentral:rRNA from 1 species